GUGCCAGCAGCCGCGGUAAGACGAGGGAUCCUAGCGUUGUUCGGAAUCAUUGGGCGUAAAGCGGGUGUAGGUGGCUUUGUAAGUCAGGUGUGAAAGCCUGGGGCUUAACCCCAGAAGUGCAUUUGAUACUGCGAAGCUUGAGUGCUGGAGAGGCUAUUAGAAUUCCAGGUGUAGUGGUGAAAUACGUAGAUAUCUGGAGGAAUACCGGAGGCGAAGGCGGAUAGCUGGCCAGACACUGACACUCAGACCCGAAAGCGUGGGGAUCAAACAGGAUUAGAAACCCGGGUAGUCC
rnacentral:rRNA from 1 species